GAUGAAGAACGCAGCGAAAUGCGAUAAGUAGUGUGAAUUGCAGAAUUCAGUGAAUCAUCGAAUCUUUGAACGCACAUUGCGCCCCUUGGUAUCCCGAGGGGCAUGCCUGUUCGAGCGUCAUUUCACCACUCAAGCCUGGCUUGGUGUUGGGCGACGUCCUCUUUGGGGACGCGCCUCGAAACGCUCGGCGGCGUGGCACCGGCUUUAAGCGUAGCAGAAUCUUUCGCUUUGGAAGUCGGGGCCCAGUCUGCCGGAAGACCUGCUCGCAAGGUUGACCUCGGAUCAGGCAGGGAUACCCGCUGAACUUAAGCAUAUCAAUAAGCGGAGGA
rnacentral:misc_RNA from 1 species